rnacentral:rRNA from 1 species
AUUGAACGCUGGCGGCAGGCCUAACACAUGCAAGUCGAGCGGAUGAAGGGAGCUUGCUCCUGGAUUUAGCGGCGGACGGGUGAGUAAUGCCUAGGAAUCUGCCUGGUAGUGGGGGAUAACGUCCGGAAACGGGCGCUAAUACCGCAUACGUCCUGAGGGAGAAAGUGGGGGAUCUUCGGACCUCACGCUAUCAGAUGAGCCUAGGUCGGAUUAGCUAGUUGGUGGGGUAAAGGCCUACCAAGGCGACGAUCCGUAACUGGUCUGAGAGGAUGAUCAGUCACACUGGAAGUGAGACACGGUCCAGACUCCUACGGGAGGCAGCAGUGGGGAAUAUUGGACAAUGGGCGAAAGCCUGAUCCAGCCAUGCCGCGUGUGUGAAGAAGGUCUUCGGAUUGUAAAGCACUUUAAGUUGGGAGGAAGGGCAGUAAGUUAAUACCUUGCUGUUUUGACGUUACCAACAGAAUAAGCACCGGCUAACUUCGUG